rnacentral:rRNA from 1 species
CAUGCAAGUCGAACGAGACAAGAUUUGUAGCAAUACAGAUUUUGUUUAGUGGCGCACGGGUGCGUAACACGUGAGCAAUCUGCCGGAAAAUGGGGGAUAGCUCGCCGAAAGGCGAAUUAAUACCGCAUGUGGUAGGGGUGGCAUUGCCCUGAAGCUAAAGUAGCAAUACGUUUUCCGAUGAGCUCGCGGCCUAUCAGCUAGUUGGUGAGGCAAUGGCUUACCAAGGCGACGAUCAGUAGCUGGUCUGAGAGGAUGAUCAGCCACACUGGCACUGACAUACGGGCCAGACUCCUACGGGAGGCAGCAGUGGGGAAUUUUGGGCAAUGGGCGAAAGCCUGACCCAGCAACGCCGCGUGAGGGAGGAAAUCCUUCGGGAUGUAAACCUCACAAGCAAGGGAAGAGCGCAGGCGGGAUAAUACCCCGCCUGUUCGACGGUACCUUGCGUAAGCCACGGCUAACUCUGUGCCAGCAGCCGCGGUAAUACAGAGGUCUCAAGCGUUGUUCGGAUUCAUUGGGCGUAAAGGGUGCGUAGGUGGCGGGGUAAGUCAGGUGUGAAAUUUCGGAGCUCAACUCCGAAACUGCAUUUGAUACUGCCUUGCUUGAGGACUGGAGAGGAGACUGGAAUUCACGGUGUAGCAGUGAAAUGCGUAGAUAUCGUGAGGAAGACCAGUGGCGAAGGCGGGUCUCUGGACAGUUCCUGACACUGAGGCACGAAGGCCAGGGGAGCAAACGGGAUUAGAUACCCCGGUAGUCCUGGCAGUAAACGGUGCACGUUUGGUGUGGGAGGAUUCGACCCCUUCUGCGCCGGAGCUAACGCGUUAAACGUGCCGCCUGGGGGAGUACGGUCGCAAGAUUAAAACUCAAAGAAAUUGACGGGGGCCCGCACAGGCGGUGGAGUAUGUGGCUUAAUUCGAUGCAACGCGAAGAACCUUACCUGGCCUUGACAUGCAUCUCUAAGUUGGUGAAAGCCAGCGAGUCUCGAAAGAGACAAUUUGCACAGGUGCUGCAUGGCUGUCGUCAGCUCGUGUCGUGAGAUGUUGGGUUAAGUCCCGCAAUGAGCGCAACCCCUGUCCCAUGUUGCCAGCGAGUCGUGUCGGGGACUCAUGGGAGACUGCCGGUGUCAAACCGGAGGAAGGUGGGGAUGACGUCAAGUCAUCAUGCCCCUUACGUCCUGGGCUGCACACAUGCUACAAUGGCCGGUACAGAGGGCUGCGAUCUCGUGAGGGUGAGCGAAUCUCUUAAAGCCGGUCUCAGUUCGGAUUGGAGUCUGCAACUCGACUCCAUGAAGGCGGAGUCGCUAGUAAUCGCAGAUCAGCAACGCUGCGGUGAAUACGUUCCCGGGCCUUGUACACACCGCCCGUCACGUCAUGAAAGUCGUUUGUAGCCGAAGUACGCACGCUAACCGCAAGGAGGCAGCGUCCUACGCUAUGAGCGGUAACUGG